CGAUGAUACGACGAGGAACCUUACCUGGGCUCAAAUGUAUGUUGACGUAUUCUGAAAGGGAUACUUCUUCGGACAAUAUACAAGGUGCUGCAUGGUUGUCGUCAGCUCGUGCCGUGAGGUGUCGGGUUAAGUCCCAUAACGAGCGCAACCCCUGCAUUCAGUUGCCAUCGGGUGAAGCCGGGCACUCUGGAGGGACUGCCAUCGACAAGAUGGAGGAAGGUGGGGACGACGUCAAGUCAUCAUGGCCCUUAUGUCCAGGGCGACACACGUGCUACAAUGGCCGGCACAACGGGAAGCGAGUUCGCGAGGACGAGCGGAUCCCUUAAAGCCGGUCGCAGUUCGGAUUGAAGUCUGCAACUCGACUUCAUGAAGCUGGAAUCGCUAGUAAUCGCAGAUCAGCCAAGCUGCGGUGAAUACGUUCCCGGGCCUU
rnacentral:rRNA from 1 species